rnacentral:rRNA from 1 species
CAGUAGCCGCGGGAAUACAGAGGGUGCUAGCGUUAAUCGGAAUUACUGGGCGUAAAGCGCGCGUAGGUGGUUUGUUAAGUUGGAUGUGAAAUCCCCGGGCUCAACCUGGGAACUGCAUCCAAAACUGGCAAGCUAGAGUAUGGUAGAGGGUGGUGGAAUUUCCUGUGUAGCGGUGAAAUGCGUAGAUAUAGGAAGGAACACCAGUGGCGAAGGCGACCACCUGGACUGAUACUGACACUGAGGUGCGAAAGCGUGGGGAGCAAACAGGAUUAGAUACCCCAGUAGUCCCUGUCUCUUAUAC